UAACACGUCACAGCACGUACUAACACAUCACAGCACGUUCUAACACGCCUGGAGUUUGAACUACCAAACUGGCAACGCCACAAAUUCAAAACAAUUCUUUAUAUCAGAUGAUUGUAUGAUAUAUAUAGUAAUUAGAGAUCCCAUACAAUGCACAAUUAAAAAGAACGUUAAAUUCAUCUUAUAAAGACACAGUGGGCAAGAGUUUAGAGGCUAAUAUAGGCAGACCAAUAGUGUAAUAUGGAUGGGAGAGGCAACUGCUCCUAGUAGUGGAGCCAGUUAUAGUUUUAUUGUUUACAUUAUUCUUGCACUCAUAAACGUUGUACUAUCGUUAGAACAUGUCUUAAGGCAUAGUUUCAUUAUUUUGUUAUUAUUCUGUGACUUAAGCAGAAAGUAUAUAUGAAUUUAAUAAGAUAUAUUGAGGUAAAUUGUUUGUGUGCGCAGUGUUGGAAGUGCAGCAGAGGAGCCAGCUCCAACACUCACAUCACCACCACCAUCAUUAUCAACACUCACCACCUCCACCACUAAACCUCAUCUUCAGCUGUUAAAGAGUACUACCACUGUUAAGUGAGCUGAGGAUACUUACCAACAUGGGCACCUACGCUCACUCCUUCCGUG